rnacentral:sRNA from 1 species
CCGGGCUUUUGAUACGCUUGU